rnacentral:lncRNA from 1 species
ACCCACAGAGACAAAUGUAGCAGCAGCCAGCAGGUGCAAUGGCGCGACUGGGAGGGCAGGAAUGGCUGUACGUACGGUGGCUCAGUGCUUGAGCACGUCGGGAAUGUGGACUGGGUACCGGUGGAUGCAGUUGGCCCAUGGCCCGUCGGCGUUGGCGGCGGGGCGGAUGCACUCCCAGGCGGCGCUGUUGCACUUGAACCCGGAGCCGAAUCCGAUCAUCCAGACGCGGUCGCCGGUGCGCAUGCGUCCCUUGGCCUCGAUGUAGGCGAGCUCGUACCAGAGGGAGCUGCUGGAGGUGUUGCCGAAGCGGUGCAGCGUCAUCCGCGACGCCUCCACCUGCUCGUCCGACAGCGUGAGGCUCCGCUGGAGCUCGUCGAUCACCGCGCGCCCGCCCGCGUGGAUGCAGAAGUGCUCGAACGCCGUGCGGAAGUCCGGGAUGUAGGGCUUGAUCCGGUUGUUGAGCACCUUGCGCGCGAUGAAGGACAGCGCGA